rnacentral:lncRNA from 1 species
UUACAAAUCAAGGCAUCAAUGGCGUCUGUUCGUCAAUUCUGAUAAUUGGUUAAUUUACACCAAGUGAUAUUUUGGUCAAAUGAUAUAUUCAAUAAUAGAAUUUAAUUAAAUGAAAAUUAAAUUCAUUUAUUGAAUUAACAUAUACAUGUAUUGAGACUCGACAAAUCGAGUCGUCCUUUACUCUUAUUAUGCUAAUUUGAGCAUGUGACAGCCGAGUAGUAAAAGUCCGUGCAAUUUAACGGUCUAUUUUACCUUGAAAACCGAACGGAGAGGACGUUAAAAAAUUAAGACCCAUCCUCUCCCACCCUUAAGAAUUGAACUUUGUUUGCUGCUGGUUUUAUUUAUUUUUCAGAUGCUCCAGUCUUCAAACACAUAUCCGUCAUGGUAACAUGCUGAAGCAGUCACACAACCGGAGCGAAAUUUACUUCAUUUUAUGCAGACUAUGGAUAGCCCAGCUGCUAAUUCUGAAAUAUUGCUGAAUGGACCGCCCUUCAGUACACCAGCUUUGGAUCGCCCAGCUGUGAUACAAUGAUUAGUUCAAUCGUCAUCAACAUUUUAUUGAUUGACAAAUAUUUUGGUUGUGUACUGUUGUUGUAACAGUUGUUGUUGUUUUAUGAAUGAAUUUUGAUUAAAUGUUGCCAUGACAAUUCAAUAUCCAAACAAAAUCAGUGUUUGUUAUUUGUUGUACUGAAAUACAAAUCAAGGC